rnacentral:lncRNA from 1 species
CAGACGCUGAGUUUCACUUCUGUCUUGGUAUCCUGGCACAGGCACCACACAGAAUCCCCUUGCCACACGGGUCCUGGAUGGCGCUCGGUCUCUGGUUGUGUCUGCUUGCCCCAGCUCUGUGGGUCGCCAGCCAGGACUCCUGCCAUCCGAAUGGGGCCAUGCCGGCUCCUGAGUUCUCUCUCAAUGCGUCCCAGGCUCAUGUUGGGGACUGGGUUACCAUGAGGUGUCUGAUCCUGGAUAAGUCUCAAGUGAAUCGCGUGAUCUUCUGCAAGGAUGGGCAGGAAAUUGGAAGCCAACAGUUCAACCGCAACAAAUUUUCCCAAGACUUCGCACAUCUCUUCUCUGGCCUGGGGGACACUGGGAAUUUCUCCUGCCGCUACCAGCACAGGACUGACAAUAAUGAGCUGGUUAAUUCCAACCUGAGCAACUCCAGGAUCCUGAGCCUGAGAGAUGCUGCACGUGUCCAGGAUGGAGGUGACUCUGCCAGGCCUGCCAGCACAGGAACCCACGCUUCUCCGAGUGCUGUGUCAUCAUCCUGGCGAAGACCUAGGGAGCAGAGCCCCAGCAGCGGUGGCCGCAGCGCUGGCGCUGGCAAUCAUGACGGUGGCAGCGGUGGUGGUGGACACAUCGAGGACCAGCUGCACUAUGCAGCCAUCAGCCAGUUCCACCACUCCAGGACACUGCCCCCCAGGAAGGAUGACAUGGUGACGUAUGCGGCGCUGAGGUAGAGGUGAAGGGACUGGUCAUAGCACUGGACUCCUGCCUGGGCACUGAUCGGGGCCCUGCCAUGGGGUGUGCCCCCCCCCCCUCGAUCCGCUCCCUAUGGCACAGCCAUCCACUGGGGCAUUGGGCCAGCUGCCAGGGGAAAGCACCCCCCUACUUAGCCUCACUCCCUACAGCACAGCGCCCCUAGGGUCGCCGGCCCGCCAGGGAGCUGGCCUAGGAUUCCUACCUCGCUUUGUUUUAUCCUCCAUUUUCAGGAAAAC